rnacentral:lncRNA from 1 species
AACUACACUAGGCUUGUUAGAGAGUGGAAGGCCAGCACUUGUAUCGGUGGCUCUAGUAGUUGGUACAGAAAAGGGAAGCAAGUUAGUAUCCUGAGGAAGGGCAGGAGGCAAAGAAACAGGAGCUUUGUUAGAAAACAAAGGAGGUGUCAUCUCUGAAGCUAGGGAAGGAGAUGGUGCUGAUUGCAUUGUUGAUUGCAGGCCUGAAGACAGCGUCAUAGGUAGACUAGUAAAAGGUAACGAACUGGGUGCUGGAGUUUGAGAACUACUGCUAAAGGGAAACAAAGAAGAG